rnacentral:rRNA from 1 species
GACGAACGCUGGCGGCGUGCUUAACACAUGCAAGUCGAGCGGAAAGGCCCUUCGGGGUACUCGAGCGGCGAACGGGUGAGUAACACGUGGGUAACCUGCCCCAGACUUUGGGAUAACCCUCGGAAACGGGGGCUAAUACCGGAUACGACACAGCUUCGCAUGGGGUCUGUGUGGAAAGUUUUUCGGUUUGGGAUGGGCUCGCGGCCUAUCAGCUUGUUGGUGGGGUGAUGGCCUACCAAGGCGACGACGGGUAGCCGGCCUGAGAGGGCGACCGGCCACAGGGGGACUGAGAACCGGCCGAGAGCCCGAGGGGGGGAGGCGGGGGGAAAUAUGGAAAAAGGGGGGAAGGCUGGAGGCAGCGGCCCGGGGGGGGGGAGGCCGGCUUUGGGGUUUAAAACCUCUUCCGGCGGGGACGAAGGGUAGGUGAGGGUACUUGAAAAAGAGGCGCCGCCAAACUAGGGG